rnacentral:rRNA from 2 species
CGGACUCUGAGACAAGAGUCCGGGCCCUACGGGGCGCAGCAGGCGCGAAACCUUCACACUGCGCGACAGCGCGAUAGGGGGACCCCAAGUGCGAGGGCAUACAGUCCUCGCUUUUUCCGACCGUAAGGUGGUCGGCGAAUAAGGGCUGGGCAAGACCGGUGCCAGCCGCCGCGGUAAUACCGGCAGCUCGAGUGAUGGCCGCUAUUAUUGGGCCUAAAGCGUCCGUAGCCGGCUAGACAGGUCCGUCGGGAAAUCCACCCGCUCAACGGGUGGGCGUCCGGCGGAAACCAGCUAGCUUGGGAGUGAAAUCCCGUAAUCCCGGACGGACCAUCGGUGGCGAAAGCGCCUCAGGAGAGCGGAUCCGACG